ACUAUGGGAAGGAGCAAAAGAGGUAUCAGCAAUAUGCUCCACUGAUGUCGUAAUGUGUGAAGUCUUGCUUGAGAAUGCUUCGGGCACUUGGCUGUAGAAGGAAGAAUAGAAAUUGCGAUAACAAAAUCUUAAUUCUAAUAGAAUAAUAACAAUGCUCUAAUUAGACUAUUUUAAUGAUAAACAAAUGUAAUCAAAUUCAAAACAACUCAAAGAAAUUUCAAACAAACAAUAAAAUUCUUAAAGAAAUAUUAGAAUGAACACAAAUAUUACUCAAAUAUAUGUCAAUUCAACCUUAAUUUAAUUCUAGUUAAAACCCUAUUGAAUUUUCCUCAAACUUUAGACCAAAUCAAAUUAAAUCUUAAACCCUAAUAAAUCCUAAACCCUAAGUCAAAUCCUAAACAAACCUUGAAUUAAAUCCUAAAUCAAACCCUAUUUCAAACCCUAAACCCUAAACCAAACCCUAAAUCAAACCCUAAAUCAAACACUAAACCCUAAUCCAAAUUCUAAUCUAAUCCUAAAUCCUAAUCCAAAUCCUAAACCCUAAAUCAAAUCUUAAAUCAAAUCCUAAUUCAAACCCUAAAUCAAACCCUAAACAAAUCCUAAAUCCUAAUCUAAAUCCUAAACCUUAAUCCAAAUCCUAAAUCAAACCCUAACCAAAUCCUAAUCCAAAUCCUAAAUCAAAUCCUAACCAAAUCCUAAUCAAAUCCUAACCAAAUCCUAAUCAAAUCCUAACCAAAUCCUAAUCCAAACCCUAAAUUCUAAAUCAAAUCCUAAAUCGAACCCUAGCCAAAUCCUAAUCCAAAUCGUAGUAAUUCCUAUGACAGAUUUAUACCUCAAUAUCUAAUGAAUAAACCAUCGAUCUCAAUUCAAAAUUUGCAUACUUCUUAAAAAUCAAGUUUAAAACAAGCAUAAAAAAAUUUGAAAAGGAUCGGAGUUACCAAAUUGACGAAAACCUCAAAAAUGUGUUCGGGUAUUAGCCAACCUCCUUUUCCAAUCUU
rnacentral:lncRNA from 1 species